rnacentral:rRNA from 1 species
UACGGAGGGUGCAAGCGUUAAUCGGAAUUACUGGGCGUAAAGCGCACGCAGGUGGCUGAGUGAGUCGAUUGUGAAAUCCCCAGGCUUAACCUGGGAACUGCAUUCGAGACUGCAUUGCUAGAGUAUGGGAGAGGGAAGUGGAAUUUCCGGUGUAGCGGUGAAAUGCGUAGAUAUCGGAAGGAACAUCAGUGGCGAAAGCGACUUCCUGGACCAAUACUGACGCUCAUGUGCGAAAGCGUGGGGAGCAAACAGG